rnacentral:rRNA from 1 species
AGAGUUUGAUCCUGGCUCAGGAUGAACGCUAGCGACAGGCUUAACACAUGCAAGUCGAGGGGCAGCACGGGAGUAGCAAUACAACUGGUGGCGACCGGCGCACGGGUGAGUAACGCGUAUGCAACCUACCUAUCAGAGGGGAAUACCCGGCGAAGUCGGACUAAUACGCAUAAAAGGGGCACCGCAUGUGAUAUUGUAAAGAAAUUCGCU